UCCAAUGGUAAUUCUGGCUAUGCGGAUGA
rnacentral:sRNA from 1 species